rnacentral:rRNA from 1 species
UACGUAGGAUGCAAGCGUUGUCCGGAAUUAUUGGGCGUAAAGAGCUCGUAGGCGGUUUGUUGCGUCGGGAGUGAAAACUCAGGGCUUAACCCUGAGCCUGCUUCCGAUACGGGCAGACUAGAGGUAUGCAGGGAGAACGGAAUUCCUGGUGUAGCGGUGAAAUGCGCAGAUAUCAGGAGGAACACCGGUGGCGAAGGCGGUUCUCUGGCAUUACCUGACGCUGAGGAGCGAAAGUGUGGGAGGCGAACAGG